AUCAUUAUGAGUUUUCAUAAAUAUAGUGUCAUAGUGAAAAUAUUAUAAUCUUUUCAGGCAAGAAGCAAGAAGAAAACAAAAAACAACUCCACACUGGCCUAAUAAUUGCUGCCAUUACCAUAUUCACCUGUGGCCUGCUUAUAAUGUUCUGUGUGCGGAAGAAGAAGAAACAUUUCAAACUCAGUGAAGGCAGGACUUGAAUAACUCCUUCAGAUUUCUCCCGCUACAAUGCCGACAUUGAGACAAGAAAAAAAUUGUUUUCCAAUAUAUUGCAUCUUCUCUCCUAUUCAUUUGUACUUUGGUGCUGGCCUGCAAUACUGAUGCUUUGUCUAAGUUUCUCUUCAAAAUACUCUAUUAACUCUUUUUCUCUAAUGUUGCAUACCACUGUGUUUGUGAAAUUUGUUUGUAUUAACUGCCAAUCAUAGAAAACUCUAAAUCUGUGUUUGUCUUCUUUGGAACUAGUGGAGAUGCAAUGUGUGAAGAGGCCAAUCAAUAUUCCUCCCAGAAAAUCAAUGACUUCAGCAUGCUCUUCCUCCCAACCUGGGGCAGCCAAGUAUCAUUAUUAGAGCUAUUAGGGGACUGGUUAGCUCAGCUGGCUGGCUGACUGGUUGAUCUUUAAUGUAGACUGAUAUCAUAUGAGGCUGAGGUCACCCUGAAAGCCCUACAUUUUCAAGCCUUAACUGAGGCAAUGGUGACCCUCAGUUUAAAUUCACUGCCAGUCUUCUCUUUGUAAUUAGAGUUCAGACUAUGGCCCUUUUUGGAUUAUGGAAAUUUUUGCUUAUCGCUAGAAUUAUCAUUUCAAAAAUGUAUUCAUUCUGUCCAAGUGUUGUUUUAUUUUAAUUAAUGGAGGAUUUUAAAAUCUCUCAAAAAAGUGUUUUGUUUACAUGAGGACUCUCUUAACAAGUCAAUCAUAUAGACGCAUUUCACUAAACAAAUAUAACUGGGCGCUAUUCACCUGACGACAGUGAAUAAUUGGGUCUACAUGCUAGUAUUACUUGGGAUCUUGAGGUGGCAUAUCAACAUUUGUAUAUAUUUUCACUGACAACAAAAGCACAUUAGGCCAAGAUUAUACGUUAGUUUCAUUGCUAAAAAAAUACUCCUGCCAUGCCUUUUACUCAAUAAAGACUCACUUGCUGAACUUCUGAACAAAGGCUGAAUUUAGCAAAGGAAAGACAGUACAAAAUUUGAGGGAAAUUAAAUUUUUAUUUUACAAAUAGACAUGCCAGACAUAAUUCCAACAGCAAUUAUUUUUAUUUAAAGCUCGUAACAAUGAGGCGGCAAGUGAACCAGCACUGUAUGCUGAAAUCAGGAGAUCAAGCAAUGCCAGGGACCAGUCCCAGGGACAUUUAUGUCAAUUGGAUACCAGCGAAAAGCAGCAAGGUGGAGGAGUUAAACUUACCACAAUAUACGAUGAAAUAAAAUUCAAUCCUAAUAUGUCAACACCCACUGAUAGCGACCGAGAUGGAAGAAGAAGCAAGUGCUAAUGUCUGAUUGGCAUCUAACGAUGUAUGGAAGACAACAGUAAGCCUGACAUGGCCUUAACAAUUCCGGUGGUCUCCUGCUUGCCAUGCUCUUGUUCUUACAGCUGACUUGGGUGUGUUCUCUUCUAUGAGAAAGCAGAUCAAGCGCCAAAGAAAGAACUUCGGACUCGAUGCUUGGAACUUAAUGAAAUGAAGGAAACAGAAACUCAAAAUGUUGGACAUUCACAAAGCCAUCAGUAUGAGGAAAAGAAAGUACACUGGGUGAUACAAGAGUGUGAAAAUGAGGAAUGCAGGUACUGGCAUGGUGCAGAUACAGUGACGACUUACAUUUAUAUAGUAUCUUUAACAUGACUAAAAUUUCCAAAGUGCUUCACUGUUAUAUAGGAUGAUCAUGGAAACAAUUAAAUGAUUGGUGAAACAGCCAAGAGACAGAAUUCAUUUAAAGAGAUGGAAAGAGGUCAUAGAGACCCUUUGGUCCAACUCGUCCAUGCUGACCAGAUAUCCUGAACUAAUCUAGUCCAAAUGCAUAGAACACAGAA